CUUGCUCACUAAGUUCAUACAACAGGCAUUUCUUGAGUAUUUCCUGAGCUGCAGGCUGCAAGAGCUAAUACUUAUGAAAUGCUUGCACAGUGUCUGCCACACACAGGAGUGCAGUAAAUAUCAGUCUUUAUUCUAGACAGGCAAAGUCACUGGCUGAUAUCCAAGAAGCACCAGCAAAUUAGCAGAUUCUACAUUCUAGCCUCUUAUUUUGCCAGAAGCUGGUGUUCUCAUUAGAUGCCAUUAGAACAGCAAAGAUACUUGCCAAAGCUGACCGUUUUAACAAGCGACAAUGAAGUGACCUACAUUCCUCCCGGGAGCUACAGGAAGCACAGGCGCCUACAGGUUUUCAGGAAGUAUUCCUUAGGGAGAGUGUGUGUGUGAUAGUAGAGGAACUUAUAAUACUCCCGAUCAUCUCAGACAGAAACAAAACACAGUGUGCUGCUUCUAAGAAGGCCUUUCACAUACCCCGUGACUUGGUUUGGGACAGGAAAACAAAACCAUUCAGUCUUGGGACGUGGAAGCCAGCACAGGACUUCUCCAGGAAGAUUCAGGGAAGGUGUCCUGAGUCAUAGGAUACAGAGUCUGACUGGCACUUCCAACAAGGCUCAAGGAACAUUGAUGUCUAUAGAAGUAUCAAGUGAACCCAGAAGUAGAAAACCAGUCCAGAUGGCUCUAAUGCUGGGAAGACCUAGCACAACACAGUGUACUAACAGGUUCCAUGCACUGAAGGAGGAAAAAGGGAACAAGCCAUUGUCAUGAAAAAGCCUAACUUGUAUGACCAUGGGCUUCAGAACUAAGAAUCAACUGUAAUAUGACUGUUGGAUAAAGACUUAUACCCCAAACAAAUAGAAAUCCAAAUAUCCUGGAAGAAGGUAUUUUUGGAAAAGAAAAAUCGAAGGAAUUAAUGUUUAUCCCCUGAGGUAAGAUGAGGACAUUGUAGUUGCAUAAGAAUUACACUUUUGAGACUUAUGUGAAGUACCUGGGGAGAAAGGCCAUGGCUGCUGCAAAUUGGCUUUUAAGGUGCUUAAGCAAAGAACAAGGCAGAAGCAACCAUGCCACGGGGAGGGGUGCUUGCAGUGCUCCUGUGUGCUCCACUCAGGAACCUUCCCCAGCAACAGUGUUGACUUGAGCCUGGCAGACGCUAAAUAUUGAUUCCCUGAAUUCAGGUGGCCAGAACCUCAGGGCAGCAAACUCUAACUGCUAUCUGUAACUCCACCCAACUUGUGGUACCACUGCUGUGGAUGGCCAUGCCAGUUCACUGCCCAGUAGGCUGGUGAGAGUCCCCACUUCCUGGACUUGUUUGAGGAUGGGACAAAAAGAAUGAGAAUGAACCACUCACACUAUGCUGACCUCUGUAUCCCCACUCUGGCUGCAUCUCUCUCAAGAUUUUUCUCUGGGAGUCCUUGUCACUUGUUUCAUCUCUACAAAAGUGCCCUGCUCUGCAUCUCAGUGGCACCUCUGGGUAGGCCUCCUGUACUCAACAGAGGUGUCUAAUGGACAUGCCUGUGCAGCUGUUCUUGCAGCAAUAACACGCUUACUCACUGUGUGGCUUGAUCUCUUCACUCCUAAAGAACCUGUGGCCAUUUGUUGGCAUGCCCACUUCUGACUCUGGAUUAGCUUCUGCUGGACCCUUUCCAAAAGGUGUUAGGAGUGUUCCUUUCGGAUAUACAGGUUUUCCACUCCUUUCUCAACUACAAAUAUACUCUUGAUGAAACUUCUUGAAAACACGGCCAGCCCUUUCCUCCUCACAUGCCUACCUCGCCCCUACAAAGCCCAGUGUUAGCUUCUCCAGAGAGGAGGACUGACAAGGCUCCCUGGGUGUGGCUCACAAGUCCUGCUACACAGGCUUUCUUGGGUCUACGCUCUCUGCCCCCACAGAAUCCGGCCUGCUUCCCACAUUCUCUUCCAAGAUGAUGUAGAGAGGCAGCAUGGUGUGGUGAAAGGAGCAGACUCCAUCUAUCAGCUGCACGGCUUCUGGCAGCUUGCUCAGCCUGUUUCCGAGUUCUUUCAUUUGUAGAACACAUGUAAUAUAAUCUAGCUUGCAGGGCUGAAGCCAGGAUCAGCGAUAACUUAUGAAAGGGGCCUGGCACAUGGUACAGGCUCACAAAAUCAGAGUGACUAUUGUCUUGUAGGAUCCACUCCUCUUGCUUAACACUUCUUAACCAUGUGCUGGACAUUCUGCCUCAUAAGCACAUGUCUAAAAUUAAGCUCAUCACUGGCCCCAAAAGCAGUAGCUCACAUGACUUUCUUUCCUUCAAUGGUACCAUUAUUCUCAUGGGCUUUCAAGCUCAAAUCUCUCUCCAGCUUUCAGGCCUUACAGACUUUAAAACUAUCUAAGGCCACACAUUUCAGUGAGGUCCCUCAAAAUCACAUGCCAAUUUCUAUUCAUCCCCACCUCCGAUGGCCUAUGUGUGAGGCACCUCUGCUGAGGCUGGGCCUCCACCUUUUAGGCUGCCAUGGCAUCUUGGUCAUUCUCCAAACACUGCUUCCACUAAGCAGCCUUCUUGGCAAAGCUCCCUUCUUCCCCUCCAAUAACCCAAAUGCAUUUGUUUCCUGUUUAUGUGCACAUACUUUCCUCUCUUUACUCUGGAAAAUAUUUACUAAGCCCCUAUUAUAUGCCUAACACUGCAUUCCUGGCCCCCACCGAUGAAUCACCCUUUCUUAAUGACACUGAUCAGGACUGUGCUCAACAGCUUUUAAAGGAAGGAGAGAAAAAGCCAUAGACACUAGCAUGGACUAGUCAACAUGGUAUGUGCUGUGUGUGCUAUGAUCUGUGGGAGGGCCCCAGGCCCCAGGAGAAGGGAGAAAGCAGCAGAAGAUAUCAGGCACUCCCUGGUGGCCUUUCCUCCUCAAUGGCUGUCCCUUUUUUUCCUCAAAGUCUAACAUACUGACAGGUGAAUCUUUCGUAGGUCAGAGAGUGGAUCUUGGCCAACCCAUGCACCUGAAGUGACCAGUGUCCCACCCCCAAGCUACAUAUCUUUCAGUCAGGCUGUCUCCACUGUUCAACCUUGUAACCCUCAGAUCUGCUUUGCUGUUUUUAAUGCAGAUAGAUCACACAUAUCUCUUCCAUACCUGGCCUCUUUUAGUUCCUUCACAGGGUUUGCAAUCUUCAUCAUUGCUGUCUGCAGCAACAUGCUGCUCAUUCUUGCUCUUCACUGGAUAGAUGAAUGAAUUCCUUGAUUCUGGUCUUAGGCUUUCCUGAGCACUGCCCCAUGGCUUCUUCUGGAGAAUCUUUUGCGUCACUAGGUACAUCCAUACCUGGUCAUAACAGACCUAGACCUCAGUUUCCUGACGCGGCUUUGUCAAUGUACUCCCAUAGCAUCGUCUGAAACUCUCACCUGCUCUCACCUCUCUCAUGGUGGCCUUUCUGCUGAGUGUAGGAUAGUGUCACCCUGUGAGUGAAGGCCAUGCCUCCCUGGUGUGUACAUGCUCACUAGCAAGUGAAAACAUUGUGGAUACACUGAUUGACACCCCAAGAGACAAGGAUACCUGUGCCUAGUCAGGCAGGCUUUGUGAGUGUGUUAGUAAGAUGGCUGAUCAGGACUGUCUGGAUCUGCUUACAGGCCUUCUUUAUCAGAGAAAAAGGAGGAAAAAGGGUUGACCACUCAGGAAUAGGCAAGCAGAUGUGUACAGACGUCUGUGCUAGGAAAGAGCCAAAGUCUAAGAAGAAUACAAACAUUUCUGAGUUUUGUGCUUUCUCCAAAUUCAGUCUUGGAAGCUAGUUUACAAGCUUUCUCCUCUGUGCAGCUGGCAAGUUUGGGAAAGUGAGAUGAGGUCUUACAGAAGUGGGGAGGGGGUUCUUUGUGGCCCAUAAACUAGAGCAAGGGUAUCAAUCAGUUCUCUCUAUUCCAGAAGACUCUACAAGGUGGAGCCACACAUUGCUUAUGCCUCACCACCUCCCCUCCACACCAGAGGAUCCAUGGCCUGCCCCAAGCCUCACCACCUCCCCUCCACACCUGAGGCUUCCAUGAAGCAACAAACUUGAAUCGAUGUGGAGUGGUUAUGUACUUAAAAUUAAAAAAGAGGAAAGGGUGAAAAUAACAUUAAAGAGAACUUAUUACUUAUGUCAGUGUGCAUCCUAAUGUUUGCUUUACACAAAUAAUGACUCAUGAUAAAAUAAUGGGCAGAUAAACACCAUACUCAGCACACUUGUUUUUCCAUUACCAAGGCUGAACUAGAAGAUGUCUACAGGACCUUAAAGCAUACUUGUCCCCUCUCUUACUCAGUUCAAUGGGUGGCCAUGGUUAGUCACAGUCAAAUGAGCUUUUACCAGCAAAAGCAGUCAGCUCUGUGGGCUUUUCAGGCAUUUCACAGGAGUCACUGUGAGAAGCAAAUGCACUGGUUUAAGAGAUACAAGUCACCCCAGCUGAUUCUGGGCACACUGUGGGGAUCCUACCCCAGUUUGUUCAUCUCCUAGAACAAACAUGACAGCUAAGUGCAUGUUCAGCUCGAGUGCAAGCACGAUGGUAAGAGAUCCUCUGAGCACAACUCCGAGGACAGUGAGGGUUUCACCUACCUGGUGCAUGUAUCUAACACUCAAUAAACAUUCUCUUGGUGUGUGAGAAAUGCCAGUUCAAACUAGCCCCAGCCCUCUGCACAAUGCCUUGCUUGUGGGACUCCUGGUAGGCAUUCAUAAAAAGCCUUAUAAAGCCCAGAGAAGAGGUUUCUCCAUCUCAGAGAGCAGGAGAUGAGGGCAGACCAUCUUCAGACUAAAACUCACCUCUGCAUACCUAGGUUCAAACUCACAGCAUACAUGUACAUACCCAUGCGCAUGCACCAAUCCCAAACUAAAGAACUCACUAUGACACCAUACAGGAUCCCAGGUGGCUACAGCGCAAAACCAGAAUCUUGUCUAGAGCAACAUUUCCAUAGGUACUGCCUACAUUAGCCUUCAUUCUUUCUUCACAGAUGGCACAGAUGAGUCUAUCUUAAAGAUGAGGAAAUGGAGACAUAGAGAGAAAUGAGAACUGCAGAACAACAGAGACAACCUAGCCUUUCAGACACUGAUACCCAGGCUCUGUCAGCUCAGCUGAAUGGAUGACUGUCCCCUGUGACUAGUAUGCCUAUAGUUUUUCCUCAGGUGCAUGAAAACAUUGGCCCAUGUCCUCAGCAGUUCACUGUUAUCCUUGGCAAAAUUCAACACUCUACACUUAUAGCUUUCAAUGUGGUACACUGUAUAGUUAUGUGGAAAGUUUGCAGCCUCUCCUUCCACACUAAAAGGCCAUCAUGGCAGAAUAAACACAGUAGUAUAAAAGCACCACAAAGUCUCCUUCUCUUGGACCAUGAGCUUGGAUGGUGCAGACUUUCCUUCCCUACCUGUCAUAAUGACCAGGGGAGGCCCACAUGGAAGCCCAGGACUGGCCCCAAGGACGGCAGAAUUCCAGCCUGAGGACUCCACCAUUCCACCUUACUCUUCUUGCCUUGCCCUGAACCCUGAUUUGUUCAGAGCUCCAGAAUUAGCCCUUCUCCUCCUGGGCACGAUCCCACUCUCCAUGCCAUGAAACCAAAUGGGGUUCCACUGUCCAGAUCUUCCCCACUUACUCUUAGAUCAGGCUUUGUUGUCGGUGCCUAUGCUUAAAGAAACAGAAAAGGAAAAGAAAGGGAAGAGAGGAAGAAACAGGAAGGGGAUGUUGAGGGAGGGGAUAAGGAGGAGCAUGAUGGCUGGAAGGUCUGGGAGCUGCAAAUGGCAAGUCUAGGAGUGUUCAGCAAACAGAAGCCAAACUGAAGAAAAGCAGCAGCUAUAGAGAAAUUGUCAGAGGCUGUACUUUCCUCUUCUCAACCAUUACCAGAAUGAGCUUAUCCAUGGAAAAGAUCACCCCCCCCCCCCACACACACACACACCUCCUUUCAGAGAUAAUACAGGUAAGCCUUACUCUUCAGCCUCACUGCAACCCCACUACCUCUAGCCUGAUCUCCAUCUGCUGGGAUGUGGGGUGUUUUCCUCUCUAUUAUUGCCAGCAAAGCACUACCAGAAAGGAGAGCAUACUUUUGACAGCUCCUAUCGAAGCGUAGAACUAUUCACAAGCAUGUAAACUUCUCUGUGUGAGGAGUGGGGUGCCCCUUUCCCAGCAGUAGGGAGGAAGAGUGAGGUGGAGGAGCCUGCUGGGAGGAUUGCUUCUCCCAUGGCAGAGCAGAAACCGGCCUAACAGAGAAACCCAGGAGGAAGAGGAGCGCGAUGAAAGGAAAGCAGAUUUGGAGGGGGAAAGCUGCUACAAGGCCAUUUCCUCCCACCCUACAGAAGCAUGUGCACAAGCUCUGAGUAGCCAAGCCCAACGCAGAGAUGAGGAGAGCACAGCAGGAAACAGUACUGCACAUACAACCAGAAAGAAUAUCUCCAUGCCUGAGAACAUAUGGGCGACUGUGAUAAUUAGAGCCAUAGCUGGUGGAUUUUUUUUUCAACUCCUUUUUGUAAUCCCAAAUCACAAUUCUUAACAUGGCCUGCUACAGUCAAACCUGCGCACGUGCUGCUUUGUGAAAGCUGGCUCCUUAAAGGCCGUUUGGCACUGCUCAGGCACGUGCUUAGGACUGCAGGGUAUCACUGUCAGGGCUCUCUCCUCAAUGCUGGCUUUCCUCUACAUGCCUGGCAGAAGUGGGCAAGCAGGUGGCUGUGAAGCAGGGAGCCACCGCCCCUUGUCCUCAUUACCUGGAAAUCCA